UUCCCCUCACAUUUUAUAGAUGAGAAAACUGAGGUCUGGGGAGAUUGUGAAUUACCUGUGGUCCAAGGGCAGUCUUCUUCACAAAGUGCGCAGCCUGGCAAUCAGCACAAUGCCUUGCACAAAAUUGGUGUCAGGAAGUUUCUGUGAAGAAGACAGGAUUUCCAAAUUUGUUUGGAAAAUGGCAUAAAGUUUACCUCUGAAGUUUACCUUCAAAACGUCUUCAAGAAAAUCAUCUCAGCAGCUGCUCUACGACAAACAUGGCCCAACAAAACUGCCACCAUCACAGGAUGAAUCUAAAGGACUUAACUGCCUGUGAGUAAUUUACAAAAAGUACUUGGAAUUUGGUAUGUGAUUAGAAAGAACAGCCACAGUGGAACACCCCUGCAUUUCUAGUCAUUUUUGAGACCAUAUCUACCUGGUUGGUGUUUGAAGGCAAAAUAAUUCUUUCUGCUUGAGAAAAAUGUUUGAUUCUGUUCCUCCACAUGCAUUUAUUUGGGAGAGUUAAAAACAAAUCCAGAUACAGUUGCUGUUUUGAUUCUACUCACCCUCUCCCUCCCCUGCCACCCUCCACCAAAACCUUCACUUUGUCUGGUUUGAUUUUUCAGACCACACACACAGAGGACCGAAUGUUUUAUAGGUGAUCAGAGUCUUAUCAGCUCUGUAGUUGGCAGAAGACUUGAUCUUUGACCACUUGCCUCUUCAUGGUAUUGCUCUGUGGGAAGAGGUGCCCCCCUCCUUAAUA